rnacentral:lncRNA from 1 species
GAAUGGGUGUCACUUAUAUAGUGAUGAAGAGAGGGUAAGGAAUGGUUAAUGCUCUUAACGGUCUCUAUCGAUAAGCAUGCGUCUAAAUCAUGCUGAUAUAUAGAGUUGUAAUAUGAAAGACUUGGAGGUGAAAUGCAAAUUUCAUUCUUGUCUUGCCUCAGUACCAGGAACUCCAUUACCUGAACCAUGCAGAUGGCCUGUUUUGGUUUGCCUGCAUCUGUCACUACCAAGUAAUGCAAAAUUUCCUC